UACGUAGGGGGCUAGCGUUGUCCGGAUUUAUUGGGCGUAAAGAGCGUGUAGGCGGCCAGGUAGGUCUGCUGUGAAAACUCGAGGCUCAACCUCGAGACGUCGGCGGAAACCAUCUGGCUAGAGUCCGGAAGAGGAGAGUGGAAUUCCUGGUGUAGCGGUGAAAUGCGCAGAUAUCAGGAAGAACACCCGUGGCGAAGGCGGCUCUCUGGGACGGUACUGACGCUGAGAGCGAAAGCGUGGGGAGCGAACAGG
rnacentral:rRNA from 1 species